UGCUCUUUAAAGUAAGUAACAUUAUGGAACUCAAAUCUCUACCAGAUGUGUGUACUUGGCAGCCAUAGCUCCGGCUGCACGCUUUUCAAGUUUUAUAGGCCUGUGUACCCCCACCAAAAACCAUUUUAUUAAUCCCUUCUAAAUUUCUGGGGGUGAAAGGGCUGUACUGCUUACGUGGACUGCUUGUUCAGUCACAAGGCUAAUAGAUUCAAGAAACUAUAUCU